CCUUGGCACAUUUACUCUUCCCUGGGUUAGCAAGGCAAGCCUUUAUUUUGGGACAGGUCUAGAAAGAUGGUACUAAAGGGGCAAGGACUACAGAUUUAGCAAAAACAACAUCUCUGUGGGAACCAGUCAUCCCGGAAGAGUGUGAUGAUGGCAUUUUCCUGGACUGUCAGGUGCGCCCCUGAGAGCUCAACCCCUGUGAGACCCACAGGCCAAUGCUCUCAAUCCUUUUAAUCCCCAAUUAAUUAAAACUCCCUGCGAAGGAAUACCAAUGAACAGGCAGCCCGUGUUCUUAACUAAGAACCUGAACUCACGACAUCACAAUCAAGGUCUACAUUUCCCAAGUUUUCAAUGUCCCAGGAAGGGCACCGAGCCAAUGCAUUCAGUUCACAGUGUCCUUUAUUUUGGAGGAACGUGAUCCAGGGAAGAAAUGCUACCAGGUUUUGGCACCAGUGAUCUCAAAACAAAAUUUGGGGGGAGAGAACUUCAUAAGGCAGGUGGUUACGUCCCGAAUCCAAAGUGAAAAGGACGGAAUCGCAGAGGAUGUGGGAGCAGAGGGAAGCCGGUCAGGCAUUUACAUUGAAGUCUUCAAGAGCCUGACAACUGUAAAAUAGUGGGCAUUUAUUGGAUGUAACCCUUCUGCUUCUCCUCACCACAGACCCUGCUCAGACAGUGCAAAAAGCUUACUAACAGUUUAUUGAGAAAAUACUGCUUAAGUUCCAGCUCUCAAAACGCAUUCUGUCCUUGUAUGGAAAAGUCAUGGCGACUCGAGGAUAAGACCUGAUAUGGCGUAUCGUCCCAAACCUGCCGUGUCUAAACAAUGGUUUAGGUCAUCAGCGAAAUGGUUUAGAGCCUGCUGGUCCCUCAAAGUCCCAUGGGUCCGUUGUGCAUUCGUACUUAGCCAGGCUCUCUAGACUACAGUGUUCUCCUUUGCCUCCAGGCCUUUACACAUGCUGUUCCUUAUGCCUGAAAAGUCCUUUCCCUGCCUUGUCCUUGAGUUUAGGCCUGCUCCUGCUCCAAGAUAGGGCCAGGUACCUGUGAAUCCCAUACGACCAUAUCGGUAGACUCUGUUGUAACGUUCACUGUUCGACGCUGUAACCAUCCAUCUUUGUGUCUCUUUCUUCCCCCAAAGCAGGAGAACCGUGAGGGUAGCAUCUUAAUCACCUUUGUGAUGGAGCAUGUCUAACUUUGAUAAUUAAAAAGUAACAUGUUGCAAGUUAUUUUGCUUUUUAGAUAUCACACGGCAGUUCAGUUCCAUGUAGAAGGGGACAAAAAAGAUCAGUGGAGAAAGCUACCUUCAGUAAAUACAACCACCACCAAAACAGAUUCAAGGAAAAGGCAAAAGGAACCGGUACUGGCAAUACUGAAACUCCAAUAUCAUAAUUCAGACAGCAAUACUCACUUCAUGAUUUAUGCCAACCUCCUUUCUUUCUUACGCCAAAUUAGCAAGAAAUGGGCUCAAAUUUCACCCACAGCUCCUCUUUCUUGAUCUUUAAAAUGAAAGUUGCUAUAUAAUGUCAGCACAGUGCCCGGAUUUGAAAUGAAAUAGGUCCCCAAUGUAAAAGGUAAAGUUCUUUUAAACAACAUGAACUUGCCUGCAAUUAAGCACAUUACAGCUUCUACCUCAGCAUUCUGCUAUAUAAAAAUACACUCCUGGAGCUUCUGCUGUUUUGAGGACCUUAACUUCUGUACUUUCUGUACCUAUUUUAUACGAGAAAAUUUGGAAGAACACACACAAUCAAUUUUUAAGUGUUACUUGUCUGCUUUUCCCUUUCACACCUGACUUUGGUUGAUAAAGAGAGGAGCAGUCUUUUGAUUACACUGGAGAGAAGGGGGAAAAUAGGCCCAGUAAUAAAAGAGGUACCUGCCAAUUAGUCAGAUUGUUCUCCAGUUUUCAAUUAAAGGCAGCCUAAUGGAUGUAGGGGGACCUGUUUUAUUUUCCCUAACAGAGCCCUUAUUUUUAAACUCUUAGCUUCAUUUUCCAAAAUUGCUGGCUUUAGACAGAAGAAACAUACAUCUUGAACAAAAAGCUCUAUGUUCUUCUUCUAUUUCCUGUAUCAAAAUUGUAUUUCUCUCCUCAGGGGCUA